GCUGACGUCACUAGGCAGAGUGGCAGCUGACACAGGGAGAAAGAAACAGAUUGAGAACGGGAAGAGGAAUGAAAAUACAUCAAACAUAAAUAAAGCGAAAUCAAAGCAAUAGCAUAGAUUGAGAGAAAGGAGUAAGAAGAAGAGAGAAACUGUGUAAAAGGGGAGAGGGACAGGGAGAGAGAAAGAAGAUAAAAAAUAAAGUAGGGGGAGUUUGCAGUUGACUUGAGAGAGAGUGAAAGGGAGAAAGGGAGAGAGAGAGAGCGAGAGAGAGACCAGCCGCCGGCCCAUUUAGGAAAGAUGGCUACAGUCACUGCAAACGGAGUGCAGCAAGAGAAUGGAUUCAGCACCACGAACAGCGCCGGCAGGAUGAACGGACUCAUGAUCGGUCAGAACACCAUUCCAAUGAAGGACCACGACGCCAUCAAGCUGUUUAUCGGACAGAUUCCCAGAAACCUGGAGGAGAAAGAUCUGAAGCCCCUUUUUGAGGAAUUCGGAAAGAUAUACGAACUCACUGUGCUGAAAGACAGGUUUACGGGAAUGCAUAAAGGAUGUGCCUUUUUAACAUACUGCGCCAGAGAGUCAGCACUGAAGGCCCAGAGCGCCCUCCAUGAACAGAAGACUCUGCCAGGGAUGAACCGGCCCAUCCAGGUGAAGCCAGCCGACAGUGAAGGACGAGGAGAAGACAGGAAGCUGUUUGUGGGGAUGCUUGGGAAGCAGCAGAGCGAGGAGGACGUCCGGCGGCUCUUUGAGACCUUCGGCCAGAUCGAGGAGUGCACCGUCCUGAGAGGGCCUGAUGGGGCCAGUAAGGGCUGUGCCUUUGUCAAGUUCUCCAGCCACGCAGAAGCACAGGCGGCCAUCAACAGCCUGCACGGCGGACAGACCAUGCCAUGUGCGUAUCCCCAGGGGGCGUCCUCCAGCCUGGUGGUGAAGUUUGCCGACACGGACAAGGAGCGGACCCUGCGUAGGAUGCAUCAGAUGGCGGGCCAGCUCGGCAUCUUCAGCCCCAUGACCAUCCAGUUUGGGGCCUAUGGCGCCUACUCUCACGCUGUAAGUCUCGGCUCCACGGGGGAGGAGACGCAGAUGAUGCAACAGCAAGCAGCGCUAAUGGCGGCGACCCAGAACUCGUAUCUGAACCCCAUGGCAGCCAUCGCUGCGGCACAAAUGCAGCAAAUGGCAGCUUUCAACAUCAACGGUCUGGUGGCUGCCCCAAUGACACCCUCCUCAGGCACCAGCACGCCGCCGGGUAUCAAUGCCACGGCCGUGCCCAGCCUAGCAGCGCCCAUGGGGGUCAACGGGUUCGCAUCCCUCCCGCCCCAGACCAACGGUCAGCCUACCAACGAGCCAAUCUACACCAAUGGGAUCCACCCCUACCCAGGUGAGACAGCCAAUGGGAUUCACCUCUACUCAGCACAGAGCCCUACGGUGACUGACCCUCUCCAGCAGGCUUACGCCGGUGUGCAGCACUACGCAGCAGCCUACCCUGCCGCAUAUGCACCAAUCAGUCAAGCAUUCCCCCAGCAACCCGCCAUCAUCCCCCAGCAACAGAGAGAAGUCUGUUGUUGUUAUUUCCCACCAGGCCCGGAAGGCUGCAACCUGUUUAUUUACCAUCUGCCCCAGGAGUUUGGAGACGCAGAAUUAAUGCAAAUGUUCCUGCCUUUCGGCAACGUCAUCUCCGCCAAAGUCUUCGUGGACCGGGCGACCAAUCAAAGCAAGUGUUUUGGCUUUGUGAGCUUUGAUAACCCGUCCAGUGCCCAGGCGGCUAUCCAGGCCAUGAAUGGUUUUCAGAUAGGCAUGAAGCGGCUGAAGGUGCAGCUGAAGCGGCCAAAGGAUGCCAACCGACCUUACUGACCCCUCUGCCGUCCACAUCCAGAUGGCCUCUCCAUGGUCGUUGUGUAGCCAACCAGUAGCCACCAGUCACGGGGACACGUUCCCAGUUCCCACACCUGAUGAAGGGCCACAACACCUUAUUUCCACAAGUGCAGUAUAAAGUACAAAGACUUCUUGCUCUGCUACAUAUCAUGAAAGAAGGGUGGUCCCUUGAUUCUGCUGGAAGAAUAGCUGGAGAAGAUUGGGUGACUGACGAGGAGAAAGAACCUGGAGAUUCUUGUUUGUUUCUUUUAGCAAAUGCCUCUUUUUUUCCCUGUUUUGCUUUGGCGUCUGUGGAAGAGGAUUUUUUGCAGAGACCAACUUUUUGCUGCUGUUUUUUAGACAAGAUGGAAAACCUUUAUAGACACAUUAUGCUCAAAGCAUGCAUACUGACACCGGUAUAUAUAGACAUGAACACACUCUUACCAAACACACAGCUUACCAAACACACAUGCAUAUAUACAGACCAACACACACACACACACAAAUAUUCUCUCAGACAUCCUACAGUGUACAUACAUGUAUGUGCAUAUGCCAACUCAAACACAUACACACAGACAUAUACACACACCAGCCUGCUGCCAUUAUGGUUUCCGUGCCUACACAGGUGAUGUGCUCUGUGACAGGGCGAGCUCUGAGUAAAGAAGAAGAGAAAUGGAGAAUCCAGGAGAAUUUACAUGCAUCAUUCCUUAGGAAAUAGGGACCAAAGGACUUAACGCUUUUUAAAAGAAUAUAAAUAUAUACAUAUAUAUAUAUAUAUAUAUAUUUAAAAAACUCUUACCUUGUAGCUGCAAGUAUUACAAUUUAAUAGUAGUCAAAAUAAAUAAUUAAAUCAAUAUCCAGUGGCCUAAGUAAGAAUAAAAAGAUAAAGGAAAUAAUGUAUACAUUGAAAAAAAGACAAGGAAACGUAGUAAAGGGGCUGAUUAUUAUGUUCUGGUUGCUGUUUUGCCACCAGUUAGUAGAUUAGAAAAUGUAGAAUACUAGAAAAGUAGAUUUGCUCUUUUUUGCUGUUGUUUUCUUUAAAAGAAAAAAAUACUUGAACUUGUAAAGUAAGGGGAGGGAUGAAAAAGAAAAAAAUCUUAAUUUUGUCUGUCCCGUCCCAGUGGGCUUUGGGGCAUUGGGGUCUCUCUCUUGGAUGUUACGGUCAGGCCGCUGGAUAUGUCCCUCUUCAUGGUGUACAACUCACUCACAGCACUAUCUGACAGCUAUAAAGGAACUGUUUUUGAGAAGAGUGGGAAGGAGAAGAGAAAAGACAGAUGGACCUUCCUAGUGUCUGUGCUGGACAGGGUGCACAUAUGAGAGGCUUAUUUCCCACAAGCCUUUGUGUUCAAGCGACAAUCCACUGUAAAAACCAAGCAAAUCGGACAUGGUGUGUUCUUUUCUGUUGAGCUUUUUUAUUACGACAGGGAGUGUGCUAUUGUAAAACGUAUUAAAGAAAUGCAUAAGGAGAAGCUUCUGAAAACGAGAUGGACUUAAUGGACAAAAAUGAAGGCAAGCAGAGAAGAAAAUGAUUGAGUUGAUAGCUACUGAAACUGCCAAAAGAGUGGACUCAACAGUAUAACAAUGAAUUGGCUCUCAUGGUGUUUGAGUAAAAUAAAAAAAAUAGACCCAUUAAAAAUAACCACGUUAUAGGCAAGAGGGAGAAAGAGAGAGAGAGGCCAGGGAUAUUUAUGUUCUCUGAAGCCGUUCUAAAGCUCUUGUGAGAUUGAGAAACAUCGCCUCAUCUCCCCGGCUGCAGAACAGAUACAAGCAGAACUUGCUCUGAAAGACACACAAGAUUUAUGGAUGGCAAAACAGUGGAAGCUUUUAGAGCUCAUUUAGCUGUGUCGUAUAUAAUGUACAUGCCACUGUUAACAUGUUCCCUCCCUGACCUGCUUUUUUUCAAAUGUUAUAUAAUGAGCCUGUGGAAAAACCUACCUAUCCGUCUCAACCUAACACAGUCUGAAUUACAGCCAUACAACCGCCAUCAUUCAGCUCCUCCCUGCCAAUCCAUGCCUAGCAGAACACAGCUCUGAACUCUUAACUUGUCAGGCUUUGAGUUAGUGUCUAUGAGCCCUUUAUUUUGUGGUGGAUGCAGCUGGCCCCGCUAUAUGAAAACCAGAUCAAUAUGUUUGCGUUGAGUCUCGAGGAAGGAUAAGAUGACAAGUCAUUCACUGUCCACACUUCCUCAAGUUCUCUCAGUAGAACACCAGCUCUCCCCCUCCCUCCCUCCCUCCCUCACAACUCCCUGAGAGCUGACUGAAGGCAUAUGGAGGGGGAGGCAGAGCUGGACAGGGAAGAGAAGGCGAGAGGAGAGUGGGAGAAGUCAACAGCCAAACCCUGAUCUCUGAGCCCUACUCCACGCCAGCAUGUCCAACCUUGUCUUUCUUUAUCCUUCAAAGUGAUGCUCCUUGGAAUUAUCCCCCGGGGGACCAAAUCCAUGCAAUCAAAAGCAACAACCCCCCCCCCAGCACCACCACCACCUUGCCAAACACCAUGUAUCUGUGCUGCCUAGCUCUUUGGGAAAGGGAUUGAAGGGUUGAUAAGGAAUCACUUGGCAUGUAUUAGGUACCUGCUGCCUUCUGUCCAGCCUGUCUCUGUUUACCUCUGGGACUUGCUCUCCAAAGCAGAGCGGACGCAUUCCAAGUCACUGACUGAAAGCCCUGCCUGCCUGCAUCACACAAGACACAUCUGCAGUACAAUGACUUUCAUUGUCUUUCUCCCAGCUGCUUAAAGACAAUACCAUGCCACUCUUUCUGUGAGCGAAGAAGUCUUGGAUUUGUCCUGAUUUGUAUCCUUGAUUUCACCAUACCACACUACUGUAAUGAAUGUUAGCGUCUGACUUUGGGUUUGUGUUCCUCUGCUAUAAAUAGACACUGUUCUGUUCCAUCAUGCCUUCCAGAACCCCAACCUAGCUGUUCAUAGCCUGGUUCAACCAGACUGAACUCUGCACUCAACAAUGGUGGGUUUAGUCUGGUUUUACCAGGCUAUGCUGUUCAGCUGUUCCCCUGGAACAAUGUUUCAAACCAACUUGCAGUUCAGUGUUUGGCUUCAGUAGCCUUCAAUUAUCUCUUCCUCCGUAUUAGACAUGCUAUUUCACCUUUCCCUCUAAUCACGUUGUAAUAGUGAGGCUCUAUACAUUAACACCAACCAAGUGAAAAGUCAUCUGCAUAAUCACCUGGACCAAAUUACAGUGGGGAUGGUCCCUUGAAUGCUCUGUGAUGACAGAAGGUAGAUUAGAGAGAAUUAUGUUUGUAGCGGCUCCCUGGCAAGGAUGCCGACAGCUGACCUGGCACCGAUAUCACCGCAGCCCUAUUUAUGAUGGAGAUGGGAUCCAGGAAGAUGGAUAAAACCCUCCAUAUCAUAGCUACUCUGGGUAUUAAUGUUGGAUAUUUGAUUGGCGUGGGUAUAGAUUAUGUUGAAAAUAAGGCAAAAGAGACUAGGUUUGAAAUAUUUCUCCAGGCAUAAAAGCUACUGAACAAUAGCAGGUUGAAAUGGGUAGCAGACAACCAACUAGUCCGUAGAAAACCCCUCAGUUCCGCCGUUGCAGCUGCCUGCCGGGUGGCCCAUGUUAUUGUACAUCAACUUUCAGCACAUAAUUGUGUCUCAACAAUCUCCUCAGAGGCCGCCAUUUUCCACAAAACAACCUGCUCUAAAAAUGUUGUCUUUUUCACGGCAGUAUUACAGUCAGGACACCUGCAAAGCAGCGAAUACUGUUCAGAACUGGAAGAACAGUAUUGGUGAAGCACAGUAGUUCUUUUGAAUCAAAAUUAUGCCCAGUGAAAAAACAGUGGCAGCUUUGGUCGUGGGUUGUCUCAGCUUCCCUUCAAACACAGUAAAAACACUCAACCUUCAGUUGUUAUGAAGUCAGCAGAACAUGUAGGAACUAGGAAGCCACAAGAAUUCAUGUGAAGUAGGUCAAUAUGAAUGCAUGUUCUUCACAGCAGCCCUUUUGUGCUCAUUAUUUAUGUAAUGCUGAAUUAAUCAAUAGGAAACCUAAUGUUCCGUGAGCGAUGAAAUCUCCUAUGCUUGUCUCUGCCGCUUCAAAAGCACCUCGUGCCAGACUAGUCCCGUUAGCCUCACCACGAGCCCUCUGAUGGCUCCUACACCAGAUAUAUGCUGCACACCCCUACAGUCAACUUAGAGCAAGGUUAGGUUCAGCCUAGGUCCAAUCCCCUGCCCAGUCUUAUAUUCCCUGCUUGGCUAACGUGCUACGCUCGUAUAGCCUUUCUGCUGCACCAGGGAGCUGCAGAAACGUGCUUGGGAAGGCUAGAUUAGACAAUGUUAAAUCAGGGAGCUGUUAGAACGAGGGUCCUCUUAUUGCUCGUCCACACAGGGGAGGAAGGUUAUUAGUGUGACAUGCAGUGAAAACAGAAAUAGCUGUAGUGAAGCCAGUCUCUUCCUUCUCCAGAAGUCUGCCAGCUCAGCCCAUCUCUGGCCCUGUCUGGCCUUUAGUCAACAAUGUUAACUUAGGAGUGACUCGCCUUACGCAGGACUGAAAGCCACCCACUCAUGUUAAAAUGAGAAUAUUUAGAUUGACAUGAUAGGUUAUUGCUAUUGUUAGUUCUACUCACUUUAGGAAUCUGUUUGGAAAUACAGUACCAGUCAAAAGUUCGGACACACCUUUCUUUAUUUUGACUAUUUUCUACAUUGUAGAUAGUGAAGAUAUCACAACUAUGAAAUAACACAUAUGGAAUAAUGUAGGAACCAAAAAAGUGUAAAACAAAUCAAAAAUAUAUUUUACAUUUGAGAUUCUUCAAAUAGCCACCCUUUGCCUUGAUGACAGCUUUGCACACGCUUGGGAUUCUCUCAACCAGCUUCACCUGGAAUGCUUUUACAACAGUCUUGAAGGAGUUCCCACAUAUUCUGAGCACUUGUUGGCUGCUUUUCCUUCACUCUGCAGUCUAACUCAUCCCAAACCAUUUCAAUUAGGUUGAGGUCGGUUGAUUGUGGAAGCCAGGUCAUCUGAUGCAGCAUUCCAUCACUCCCCUUCUUGGUCAAAUAGCCCUUACAUAGCCUGGAGGGGUGUCGGGUCAUUGUCCUGUUGAAAAAUAAAUGAUAGUCCCACUAAGCGCAAACAAGAUGGGAUGGUGUAUCGCUGCAGAAUGCUGUGGUAGACAUGCUGGUUAAGUGUGCCUUGUAUUCUAAAUAAAUCACAGACAGUGUCACCAGCAAAGCACCCCCACACCAUCACACCUCCUCCUCCAUGCUUCACGGUGGGAACUAAACAUGUGGAGAUCAUACAUUUACCUACUCUGCGUCUCACAAAGACAUUGCAGUUUGAAUCAAAAAUCAAACAUUUUGACUUUUCAGACCAAAAGACAAAUUCGGUCUAAUGUCGAUUUCUUGUGUUUCUUGGCCCAAGCAAGUCUCUUCUUCUUGUUGGUGUCCAAAGUUCUUGGCAGCAAUUCGACCAUGAAGGCCUGAUUCAAGCUGUCUCCUCUGAACAGUUGAUGUUGAGAUGUGUCUGUUACUUGAACUCUAUGAAGCAUUUAUUUGGGCUGCAAUUUCUGAGGCUGGUAACUCUAAUGAACUUAUCCUCUGCAGCAGAGGUAACUCUGGGUCUUCCUUUCCUGUGGCGGUCCUCGUGAGAGCCAGUUUCAUCAUAGCACUUGAUCGCACUUGAAAUUUUCCGUAGUGACUGACCUUCAUGUCUUAAAGUAAUGAUGGAAUCAUUUCUCUUUGCUUAUUUGAGCUGUUCUUGCCAUAAUAUGGACUUGGUCUUUUACCAAAUAGGGCUAUCUUCUGUAUACCACCCCUACCUUGUCACAACACAACUGAUUGGCUCAAACGCAUUAAGAAGGAAUGAAAUUCCACAAAUUCACUUUUAACAAGGCACACCUGUUAAUUGAAAUGCAUUCCAGGUGACAACCUCAUGAAGCUGGUUGAUAGAAUGCAAAGCAUGUGCAAAGCUGUCAUCAAGGCAACGGGUGGCUACUUUGAAGAAUCUCAAAUAUAAAAUCUAUUUGAUUUGUUUAACACUUUUUUGGUUACACCAUGAUUCCAUAUGUGUUAUUUCAUAGUUUGUCUUCACUACUAUUCUACAAUGUAGAAAAUAGUCUAAAUAAAGGAAAACCCUUGAAUGAGUAGGUGUGUCCAAACUUGUGACUGGUACAGUAUGUAAAAUAUAAUAUAACAAAAACAUCUUUAUGGUCAUGUCAACGGUCACUGUAAUGCCUGACCUUCUCAUGUAACAUUAGCACCUGUGAGGCAGUUAUUCACAUUUCUUAACCUCUGGUUAUUCUACCUCCUCUACUGGCUCUAGUUAUAAUGCCUUCCUAGUUUGCAUUCCAUAAAGUCUGUCCUCAUGAGGUGUUAGAAACCUCAGAGCUCCGAGGCUGACAGAGGCGCAGGAUAACCAAUCCUAAGAGCCGAAGAGGUUGACUAAGAGACUAAGAGGCUAGAUAACCAAUCACCUGAGCUCUGAAGCUGGCGGAUGGGUUGAAUAACCAAUCCUAGUGGGCGAAGAGAGGUCUGCCUAGCAUGUCUAGCAGACCCCAGCCCCUGGGUGUAGAGAACACUCACCCUAAAAUAGCAGUGAUUGUCAAGGAAAGGAAGUGAAAUGUAAUUGACUGAAAGUGGAGAGAUAAUUAAAGGAACUUGUUGGACAGGAGGGAGAAAUUAAUGGCUCUCAUUUAAUAGCUGCUUUGGGAGAAAAGGAGAGCUUUUCCGUCAUCUCGCUUAGCUAACGCAAAAAGGGGUUUUCGCUGUGGAAAUGGGAUUUUAGCUGAGAGGGAAAGUGAAGUGGGUUUGGGGGGGGGCUGGAUGCUAAACUGAAACUCCACAAAGUCACCUCAAUACUCAGGGCAUCAGGCGCUAUGAUGUCAUGAUUAGUGGAAACUUUUAGAGCCUUGCCUUCCCCAUGGGCCCUGCCUUCCUUGUCAGGCUGGGGAGGAAUAAGAGCUGCGUAUUCACCCAGAGGCGCUGAGAGUAUGGUGGGAGCUGGGGGAGCAUGUUGGACCUCUGCCACGGCAGCUGGAGUAGCCAGAGACAGGAUCACACUGUCAGUCAGUCAGGGGGAGUGCUGUCUGUCAUUGAAACAUUAAUGCCUUGGAUCCAUCAGGUCAUCAUGCAAUUUUAAAAGACACUAAAAGGAAGACUUUGAUCCUAUCAUAAACAACAUAAAGAGCAGUCAAUCACAGAAACGUGUGGGAUCAUGUUUGACAACAAAGCUGGAGAUUCAAAUAAAAAAAUGGAGACAGAAUUUUUUAUUCCUUCAUGUAAAUAAUAGAACACAGAAACAAAUGAGUCAGGAAGUAAGAACUGUACAGUAGAGAGGUCUGUCUAUAGUAGUCACCUGGCUGUGUGGGACAUUGAUGUCACUAUAAAACGUAUCCACAGCAGUGCAGGGAAUCUUUGGAGAGGGUGGGACUUUUUAACACUUUGGCCUUUUUGGUUACUGAGUAAACAUGAAUGAAUAUGCACUAUACCCUCAGCUGAACACCACCCAACAUAACAGGGAGAGGAUAGCUGAGAUCUGAUUCUAGAUGAUUUAGUAGGGCUUCAAUUCCAGCCUGGAGCAAUCCAUUAAUUAGGUUUACACUGACACAUCAUGAUAUUUCUGACAGUUGAAAGAUUGCUUGUGCACUAGCUAAUUGGAUUAGUCCAAUUGGAGCUGAUUAGACGGAUAGAUGUGACCUCAAAUACGUGACGAGUAGGCCCACCCCUCAGUCUGCUGCGUGCCGUACAGAGGAGCAGGUGAUAGUGACAGCAGCCGUUAGUUCGCUAGUCGCUAGCUAGCUUGCCACCGGGGCUGGGCGGCGCCCGCCAGUCACCGCUAUACUCCACAGCUCCACGGUUAUGGGCAGAAGGGGGUGAGGGUUUGCCAGAUUAGAGCUGCAAACAUAUUUCCAUAUGAUCCAAACACAGAAAACAGGUGUAUGAUGAGAAAGAGAGAGGAUUGGGCCAGGUGAGCCGGAUGCACUGAUACUAGAAUGAAUGACCACCCUGCAGAUCUCCCUGCCUCUGUGGCCUGCCCCUGCCUCUGCUCUCCCCACGGCCCGAGUACACAGCUGCCUGCGGUACUCCUGUACAUAUUACAUAGCUUAUUUUUUAAUUCUGUUAAGGCUUCUUUAUAGACGACCGUACAUAAAUCAUGUUGGGAAAAAAAAGAAAUAGUUAAUAUAUUUCACUGACUACGAGAAGGAAACUAUGAAAUAAUUUAUCAAAAACAGUAGAGAAAAACAAUUUUUAUUUCUUGUAUAUUGAAGCGCUGAUGUUAAAAUGGAUUUUAUAUUCAUGUUGGUAAAUGUUUCUUUUUUUUCCAUUCUCUUAUGUUUUCUGUUUUGUUAUCUGCUGAAGCUGGGAUGGACCCACUGUCUCAAGGUUUAUUCUGAGAUGCUUUGAAGAUACAUGUUGAAGGGGCAUUUUGCUACACAAUCCCCAUAUGGAUUUACAUGUAAAUGGGCAAGUUUAAAGAUAUGUUGUUGACAGAAAGCUCUUACAUUCAGUACAGGAAUUAAGAUACUGGACCGUAAAGGAUGAUAAAUGGUCAUGUGGAUUCAUAAAGAUGAAACCAUUGCACAACACAAUUUUGAGAGGACGCAUCGGCUGUAUGUAAUUGCAUGUUCAAAAGGAUUUCAUUGUAGCCCUUCUGUUCUUUUGGAAAACCUCAGAAUAUUUGUUGUCAGAUUUGUUUUGAAAAAUAAGCUGUCAUUUAACAUGACCAUUGUCUUUAAGCCAUACAUUUCUCCUUUGUUUGAUUAUUUCCUUCAUCUUAGAAUUCAUUUUUAUUCUUGAAAAAGAAUCAGAGACAACUCUUUUAUUUUCAUCUUCUCUGCAUGCGGGAAUUUUCUCUCAGAGAUCAUUUCUGAAGAGCUAUUUCAACAUGACUGGACUAUCGUGUAUAUAAUAACUGUGGUUGACUCCAACACCACUGAAGAAAAUGUGCCAAUAACAGAUUGAAAGUUCCACUACACUGUUUUGGUCAAGUCAGGUCAACCCGUGGCGUUGACACCAAACUGAUCAAAAGAGGGAAGUCUGCCUUAAAACACAUUCAUUCUCUCUGACGGUACUACCUUCAAAAACGUACCACAUACAUUGUAUUCUGGGGAUGCCAAUGUUAGUUCUUUUCCAUUUUUCAUAAACAUGCUCUGGUUUUUCCUUGCAGAGAUGAGAUUCUGUUUAAUUGAAAUGCAACUGUCAGUUGUAAAGAUUGCCUUGUGUCAGUUUUGCCUCAAUCCCACUUCUGACACCAAUAAGGACGGGAUCAUACAGUAUAGUUACAUUUCCAUCGGUUACAUGGACCAAAUUUUAUCACAUGAAACCAACAGAGCAGAGUUUCCCUAACAAAACAUGAAAUGAGAGCCUUUGUGCAACCAUUCAGAUAUAAAGGAAAGCGAAAAUCAUCCACUGUACUUUGCUUCAAGAGACAUUACAUUCCCAGCUUCGCUCUCACAUUUCAUCCACUUGAUUUUACUUCUGUCAGACAAAUAAAACAUGUAAUUUUAUGUAAUUUAUCAUAAUUAAUUUUAGGCACUUAUUAGUUCAUUUAUUUAUAAUAUUUUAGUUGAGUGAUAUAAUUGUAUAUCUUUCUCAUUUUUACUUGAACGAAGUCAGUUGAUUAUCUUUUUUUUCUCAAAACAGAACUGUAAAUUGACUUAGUGUUGACACGGGUCUGUUUUUCUCUAAUUCGGGGUGGUUUCUCCCAUAGUGCUCCUGAACUGUAGUUCUCUAGUUCAUUAUAUUCUGCUUAGACUAAAAUAAAGCACAGUCCUGUAGAAGAUUGA